CCCGGCUACCUUUGGCAAUACAGAUUUCGAAAUUCUUAUUUUUCCGGAGAUUUCAGAAUUCACAGGUGCAAAUUUGACAAUCCGAUGGAUUUUCUCCUCAAUUUCGAUUGAUUAAUUUAAGUGACAGCAGGAUCUCUAUUUUCAGCUGAGGGGCAGAGCUGUUUGUACUGGAGAAGGGAGGUUUUUGCAUCUCUACCAUGGCAUCAUCAAAUAUCACAGUUCUAUUAACUAUAGGUGUCAUCACCGUAGUUGUAGUGCGAAUUAUUUAUGUUAUUUAUAGGAGCAGCAAACCACUUCAUUCCAAAUCACCACGAUUCCUCGGUACUCUUGUUGUUCUUGGUUCAGGUGGUCACACAGCAGAAAUGCUAAAUUUAUUAUAUGUCCUUCAAAAAGAGAGGCUUAAGCCGAGAUAUUAUAUUGCUGCUGCUACUGAUAAUAUGAGUCUCCAAAAAGCGAAAACGUUUGAGGAUUCCUUAGUUGGUAAGGAAGCGCUUGAGGAAGUAGGGGGUGCUGAAUUCUUGCAGAUAUAUCGAAGUCGAGAGGUUGGUCAAUCGUAUAUAACCUCAAUUGGAACCACAUUGGUUGCAAUUGCACAUGCAUUGUGGUUAAUGAUCAAGAUCAGACCCCAAGUGAUUCUGUGCAAUGGCCCAGGAACAUGUGUCCCGCUAUGUGUAAUUGCCUUCCUUUUUAAGGUUUUGGGAAUUCAGUGGUCAUCAAUUUUCUAUGUGGAGAGCAUUGCAAGAGUCAGGAAGCUGUCUUUGAGUGGUUUGCUUCUUUACAAGCUACGCAUGGCUGAUCAGUUAUUUGUGCAAUGGACACAACUAAAAAAGAAAUAUCCUCAAGCUCAUUAUGUGGGUUGUCUUAUGUAAUUGAUCAAUUUCUGAUCUAUUAUAGCCAGGUGUAUUUGCUUCACGAUUUUCCGAAGUUUUAGAUAAUGGUACUAAUACAUUGUUAUGGUGUGUUCGCUUUGGUGAAGAGCGAUAAUGCUUCAAUCAUUUAUUAGAUGGUAACAUCCUUGGCCACCAUCCAUGAAGCAUUUAUCAUCUAAAAUUCCAUUUCAUUUGCAGCCAAGAAAUGCCUUGAAAGACCACCAAGGGAUGACGGGAUAGUUGGAAUCCCUCCACCCUUUCCCAGAGAUUUCAGGUUCGAACCGUGAGGUGGAGAAUCUCUUGGUAAGAUGGUAACUAGUGUUUCUUUCUUGAAUCAGUCAGGCACCUUAACAUAACUAGUGUAGUAUGCACAGUGGAUGAGCCAAGAAACAGGUAACCAUAUUGUGUGGCUUAUGAUGAUCGUAAACUACACGAUUUUUUCAUGCUAUACUCUUAUACUGAAAUUCAAAUGAACUACAAAUUAACUUC